UGUAAAAUUACCUCGUUCACUGGUCUUUCCCUCCAAACUUUUCGCAAAGGAGCUCCAGCGAUUUCACUCUCUUGAACCAGUGGAAGAUCUUUGUGAAGUGGAAGUAAAUGGCGUCAACCUCUGUUUCACAUGGCGACCCUGUAAUUGGCAGAAUCAGAACUGCAACUUCUACACUGUCCUCCGACACUGAAGCUCUCAUUGCUGAAAUUCGAAAAUCGUUGUCUACGAUGAAGGCAAUCGCAGUCAACUUAGAGAAGGAUAACCAGUCUCAAAAGGUGAAGGAGCUUGAAGAAGCCGUUAUUGAGUUGUUAGCAUGUUCUGAUGAUUGUUCGCAUCUGUCAUCCGCCAUUCAAUCCGUUGGUAACAAAUACCAACCCAGAGAAGAGAUGACGGAUUUUAACGAGUUGCUUGAGGAUGAGGUCAGAAAGCUCAAGGCCAACUCAUAUUCGGUUCGACAAAACAAUAUUUUGUUUCGGCAAUUCAAGGAAGCUAUAUGGAAUGUUCAUCAUGCAGGUCAACCAAUGCCAGGUGAUGAGCAGGAGGAUGUCGUCAUGACCAAUACUCAGACCAUCCUUUUGAAUACCACAUGCCCAUUAAGUGGAAAGCCUGUUAUUGAACUGGCAGAUCCUGUACGCUGUAUGGACUGCAAGCAUAUUUAUGACAAGAAAUCAGUGAUGCACUACAUAAAGUCCAAUUCCAGAGGUGGAAACCCUCAAUGCCCUGUUGCAGGUUGUCCCAAAGUUCUGCAGGCAGGAAGAGUGGUGUGUGAUCCCUUAUUGCUAGUUGAAAUUGAUGAAGCUCGCAAGGAAACUACUGCACAGCCUGGUGUUGUAGAAGAUUUCACUGCACUUGAUGAAGAAGACUGAUGUUGGCCGUUUCUGGAGUGAAUGGAUAAUGCUUGCAGUUAGAUGGCACUGUGAUGCAUCUGAAAUGAAGAAUUUUUAGGUUCCUUCUUUUUUUUUGAUAUUUACAGAUGGACUCCUAGUCUCCUACUAGUACCCCAGGAGUGGAUUAUCAAUCAGCUGAUUCAGAGCAUUUGAUGAAGCAGAUCUGCAUUGGUUAACCUGAUGAGGUUCCAUUUUUCUGGUGCCACACAUCCUCCAAAUAUCUACUCUCAAGAUGACCUUCUUAGAACUGUUGUGCGGACACUUAACCAAGGAUCCAACAUAAUGAGCAUGGACUUCCAUCCACAGCAACAAACUUCUUCUAGUGGUUACAAAUAUAGGUGAAAGUUGUACCCAAAUAUCUACUCUCAAGAUGACCUUCCUAGAACUGUUGCGCAGACACUUAACCAAGCGUCCAACAUAAUGAGCAUGGACUUCCAUCCACUACAACAGGCUUCUUCUACAAAUAUAGGUGAAAUUUGUACCCAAAUAUAUACUCUCAAGAUGACCUUCCUAGAACUGUUGUGUGGACACUUAAUCAAGGGUCCAACAUAAUGAGCAUGGAUUUCCAUCCAUAGCAACAGCUUCUUCUAGUGGGUACAAAUAUAGGUGAAAUUUCAAUCUGGGGAGUUGCAUCUCGAGAAAGGCUAGCACACAACUUUCAAGGUUUGGGAUAUCUUGACUUUCUUGAUGUCUUAGCAGACUGCAUUGAUAAAAGCUGCAACAAUAUCUGUCAAUCGGUGUAGUUGGGGCCCUGAUGGAUGCAUACUUGGUGUUGCAUUUUCAAAGCAUAUGUUCAAAUAUACAUGUACAACCCAACUGGAGAACUGAGACAACAUUUAGCAUAUCUGUGGUGUUAAUGAUAUUGAUUUUUCUCAUCCCCAAAAGCAACUAUGUAUUGUCACCUGUGGUGAUAAUAAGACAACAUUUGAAGGUCA